rnacentral:rRNA from 1 species
UACAGAGGGGGCAAGCGUUAUUCGGAAUUAUUGGGCGUAAAGGGCGCGUAGGCGGCUUUGCAAGUGACGGGUGAAAUCCCUCGGCUUAACCGAGGAACUGCCUGUCAGACUGCAUGGCUUGAGACCAGGAGAGGUGAGUGGAAUUCCCAGUGUAGCGGUGAAAUGCGUAGAUAUUGGGAGGAACACCAGUGGCGAAGGCGGCUCACUGGACCGGAACUGACGCUGAGGCGCGAAAGCGUGGGGAGCAAACAGG